CACUUGAAACCUUUGAGAAGUGAAAAGUGGGGGGAAAUUUAACAAAAGGUUUUGUUCAGCUUUCAUAAAUUCAAAUACUAAUUGAGGCUGGGAUCUUGCCUAACUCAACACUAAAAAAAAAAAUUUAACCCAAAUGGGUAAAAUUUUUUUGUAUUGUAGAAUUCAGUCUUAGUAUUUGACAUAAUGAAGUACCUACUUGAAAAGAUUCCUUGGCAAAUUACCCCUCAACUUGGGUGUUUUCACUUCUCCAAGGUUUUUACGUGCACACCUAAAUACAACCGACGGCAUAACGCUAAAAGUCACUUUGCACUUCAGGACUAUGAAAAUCAUAUAUUUUAAAAUGUAUAAAAUGACCACCUAAUUGAAAAAGUUUUUUCUAUACAUUAUUAUCAUUUUCACUAUUUUAUGUAAUAGAAAAGAAUUCAGCGUUAGAAAUCAGUUCUGUUAGCAUGAAAUAAAAAAAAAACUUUAGAAAAAGCGAGUCUUAAUAAUUGACUACCUGCUUCUCAUAUUAGAUGUCUGAAUAACCUCCAAAUUCCAAAUCGCCUCAAUUGCUGAGGAGUUCCAGUGACAGAGGGCGUACAUGGGAAAUCUAACUUUCAGCGCCCUCACCGAUUGAAUUUUAUCCUGUUCCGGUUACCCCGGUCACAGAAGAGGAAACAAUGCCCGGUCCACAUUCAGGUCAAAUAAGUGCACAGACUCCGAACGAACCAAAGUCGAUAUUGAUCAAUAAGAACAAGAAGCAAGACGUGUAACAGUGUGAAGUACAAAUAAUGCAUGUAUGAAUUUUUUCAGAUAGGCUUAUAGUUUUAUUUAUAUAUCCAUAUCCAAGAUGACUUCUCAUCUAACUAAGAAACAAUUAACUUUAAGAAGCAGACAAUUGAAUCCGUGUGAUCAUUUGUUCUGGAAAAGCAGAGGUUAUUCAGAGAGGCCACAAAACUGGAAAGAUAUUCCGGAGGAAAUGAGAAAUUUCAAUGGUA